rnacentral:rRNA from 1 species
AUGGAACCUCUUAGUGAAGAAGACUCAAGAAAAUUGUUUUUUGGUAGGAUAUUUUGCUCUGAAGAAGCUUCUCCAGGUCAACUCAGAGAUGUUUCAGUUGAGAUUCUCAAGAAGUGUGGUGGUUUGACACUUGCAAUCAUUAGCAUAUCCAGCCUAUUGGCAAGUGAUCGUUCCAACCAAAAGGAGAGGUGGAAACAUGUACUGAAUUCAUUGGGGUCAGUGUCAGGCACAAAUCUUACCUUGGAAGCAAUGAGACAGAUCUUGAACCUUAGCUACAAAAAUCUUCCUCACCACCUCAAGACAUGCUUCUUGUAUCUUGGUAUGUUUCUGGAGGACUCUGAAAUAUAUAGGCACGAGUUGGUAAGCCUAUGGGUUUCUGAAGGCUUUGUUAGUAAAGCACAUGGACAAAAUCCAAAACAGAUUGCGAUAAGUUAUUUUAAUGAGCUUGUCAACAUGAGUCUUAUUCAACCUGUACAGAUUGACAUGCAUGGGUCAGUGUUAACUUGCAAAGUACACGAUAUGUUGUUGGAUCUUAUCCUGUACAAAUCUGCGGAAGAGAAUUUUAUCACUGUAGUAGACAACCCAGAGGCCAUUACAGGACAGCUUCAAAAGCCCCGUCGGAUGCUCUUCAACUUGGAUGGUGCAACAUUGCCAAGGGACGUUAAUAUGUCACAAGUGCGAUCAUUUGCAAACUGGAGAGGCUCCACGAAUAUACCUUCAUUGGCAGAAUUCAAGUAUCUUCGAGUUUUUAUUGCUGACUUCAGUUCUAGUUCUGUUGAUGGCAACCGGAAAAUCGACCUGACAGGAUUGUGCAAGUUAUAUCAGCUGCGACAUAUACAGAUUGAAGGCUGUGAUAACUGCCAGCUACCAACGCAGAUUAGAGGGCUACAAAAGUUGGAAACAUUUGAUAUAGAUGGGUCCUGUAUCCCAAUGGAUAUUUUUCAGCUGCCGUGUUUGUUGUCAAUGCAUAUUUUUCACCUGCCGUGUUUGUUGCCUGAGGGCAUCGGUAAAAUGACAUGCCUACAGCGUCUGAGAUGGUUUGACACGCUGCACACCUCAAUCAACAGUAUCAAGGGCCUAGGAGAGCUCACUAAUCUGAGACUUCUGUACCUCAGAACCGAUUUUUCUGAAAAUGUGGACAUGGAUGUUCUAAACUCUUCUUUGGGGAAACUUUGUAACCUCGACUCCCUGAAUGUAUUUUCACCUGAUUCUUGGAUACCUGAGGCACUAACCUUGUCGCCUCCUCCCCCCAACCUCAUGGGACUCUCCAUGAUGCGAAUAUCCCGGGCCCCAAGCUGGAUUGGGGAACUCCAUAACCUCCAGAGCUUGCAUAUCACUGUUGAUAAGUUAGACAAGGAUGAUGUUGGUAUUCUCGCGGAGUUACCCGCCCUCAUGGACCUAGAAUUAACGUUCAAUAGAGCCCUGGAAGAAACAAUUGUCAUCUAUGGGACAUCAUUCGCAAUCCUGAAGCGGUUUGUUGUCUACUGGACUGUCAUGCCACAACUGACCUUCCAAGCCGGAGCAAUGCCUAAGCUCCAGAGCCUCUCUCUACCUUUGAACGCCAGGGGGUGGAAGAAGGACGACAGCACCACGCCUACAGGCAUCGAGCACUUGUUAGCACUUGAAAGAAUCUCUGUGGGGAUUGGGAGUGAGACUGAAUCUGAACAGAGAAGCGCAGAGUCAGCCAUUAGGAGCGCUAUGAACAUGCAUCCUGGCCAUGCUCACAUUAAAAUCGAUAUCCAAUGUUACUAA